rnacentral:misc_RNA from 1 species
UGUAGGAGCCGGCUUGCUGGCGAUGAGGCCCUUGAGCCUUGCAGCGAUCUUGCGGACGCUAUCGCCAGCAAGCCGGCUCCCACA